CAACCCUUAAGCCCUAGUUGCUUAGCGUUGGGACUCUGAGCCUUUACGGCCCAGUUCCUUAAAGUUAGUGGCGGAGUUAUAGCACACUCUCAGCGUAGUAAUUUCUAUCUCGCUUUUGUGGUGGCUGUGGCGACUUGCCGUAAAACCCCUAAUUAUCUAGU
rnacentral:misc_RNA from 1 species